rnacentral:rRNA from 1 species
GACGAACGCUGGCGGCGUGCCUAAUACAUGCAAGUCGAACGCUUCUUUUCCCACCGGAGCUUGCUCCACCGGGAAAAGAGGAGUGGCGAACGGGUGAGUAACACGUGGGUAACCUGCCCAUCAGAAGGGGAUAACACUUGGAAACCGGUGCUAAUACCGUAUAACAAUCGAAACCGCAUGGUUUCGUUUUGAAAGGCGCUUUACGGUGCCGCCGAUGGAUGGAACCGCGGUGCAUUAGCUAGUUGGUGAGGUAACGGCUCACCAAGGCCACGAUGCAUAGCCGACCUGAGAGGGUGAUCGGCCACAUUGGGACUGAGACACGGCCCAAACUCCUACGGGAGGCAGCAGUAGGGAAUCUUCGGCAAUGGACGAAAGUCUGACCGAGCAACGCCGCGUGAGUGAAGAAGGUUUUCGGAUCGUAAAACUCUGUUGUUAGAGAAGAACAAGGGUGAGAGUAACUGUUCACCCCUUGACGGUAUCUAACCAGAAAGCCACGGCUAACUACGUGCCAGCAGCCGCAGUAA